rnacentral:rRNA from 1 species
AUGAAACUUCCACAAUGGGGUAGUAUAAGGGAUCCUCGCAAAUCUGAAUUUAGAGAUUUUCUUGCUAAUAUAACUGUGGGAGAAUCUAGAGAUAUUACACAAGCUACCAUAGGGAGCAUCCACUUUCCGGCUAUACAUUAUUUUGCUCUCUUCGUAGGUAGAUGCAUAAAUGGUAAAGAUGAGGCAUGUCAUGUGUGUGUUCCUGACCUCAGUAUUCUUAGGAGUGCUGUGUUAGAAGACAAAUCAUAUAAUUUGGGAGCUAUUGUUGCACGUAGGUUGCAUCAUAAUAGAUAUAAUGGAGAUUUCUUUGGAGGAAUUUAUGCAACCCGCUUAGCUAAAUUUCUUGAGAUAGACGUUCGUGAAGGAUACAUGGAGUUGCCUCCUGCUUAUUUAGAUUUAGAUUCUAUGGUUUCUCACCAUUUUGUCGAGAGGAACGAAUCACCUCUCCAGUACCGACAAAUCUUUGACAGACGCCGUGCUGUCCGUAUUACUCUCCUUGCUCCUGCUUUCUUUGAUUAUCAGGCAAGAGGAGGAUAUACUAUUACCAGAGAGGAGGCAGAUGAGUACGAGAGGAGAGCGGAGGCCGCUCGUCGCCACACUGCAGCUCAGGAGGCGAUAGCCGCUGCAUCACAGUACGACCCAACAACUAUUAUUAUGGAUAUCAGUCAGGCCAGCCGUGGCCAUAGACCAACUUAG